rnacentral:tRNA from 1 species
GGGAAGGUGGCUCAGUGAUAGAGCACUUGCCUUGCAUGCAUGAAGCCCUAGGUUCGAUUCCUCAGCUCCA